GAUGAACGCUGGCGGCGUGCCUAAUACAUGCAAGUCGAGCGAACAGAUGAGGAGCUUGCUCCUCUGACGUUAGCGGCGGACGGGUGAGUAACACGUGGAUAACCUACCUAUAAGACUGGGAUAACUUCGGGAAACCGGAGCUACUACCGGAUAAUAUAUUGAACCGCAUGGUUCAAUAGUGAAAGACGGUUUUGCUGUCACUUAUAGAUGGAUCCGCGCCGCAUUAACUAGUUGGUAAGGUAACGGCUUACCAAGGCAACGAUGCGUAGCCGACCUGAGAGGGUGAUCGACCACACUGGAACUGAGACACGGUCCAGACUCCUACGGGAGGCAGCAGUAGGGAAUCUUCCGCAAUGGGCGAAAGCCUGACGGAGCAACGCCGCGUGAGUGAUGAAGGUCUUCGGAUCGUAAAACUCUGUUAUUAGGGAAGAACAAAUGUGUAAGUAACUAUGCACGUCUUGACGGUACCUAAUCAGAAAGCCACGGCUAACUACGUG
rnacentral:rRNA from 1 species